rnacentral:misc_RNA from 1 species
GAUGAAGAACGUAGCGAAAUGCGAUACUUGGUGUGAAUUGCAGAAUCCCGUGAACCAUCGAGUCUUUGAACGCAAGUUGCGCCCGAAGCCUUCUGGCCGAGGGCACGUCUGCCUGGGCGUCACGCAUCGCGUCUCCCCCCAACCCACCUAGUUAUAGGUAGGAUGUGGGGGAGGAGGAUGGCUUCCCGCGCCUCACCGGGCGUGGAUGGCCUAAAUUAGGAGCCUCAGGUCACGACUGCUGCGGCGAUUGGUGGUCAUCAUUUCUUUCCGUGCAGUGCGUGACCAAAGUGGACUCGUAGGAACCUGUGUUGUCCCCUUUUGGAGACAAACCGUUGCGACCCCAGGUCAGGCGGGGUUACCCGCUGAGUUUAAGCAUAUCAAUAAGCGGAGGA